GACAGCCCAUCCCCCCCCCCGAAAAAAGAGAAUUAUGUGGUCCCAAAUGUCAAUAAUCCUGACACUGAGUCUAUGGAAAUGAAAAGUUAGGCUGCAUUUGGGAAGUUGUUUUGUUCUCAGUGGUAAAAGCUUAGGAUAUGUACAGUUUGGAAAGUCACUAUGGUUGGAAGGAAAAGUUGGGCUAUUGUGAAGGUUCCGUAAUGCUUGAUCGCAGAGAGUGAUGGAUGCAGAUCAGAUGAAGUUGCUUUCACUUAUUGUAAUAAGUGGGGAGGAAAGCCAUGGCAAGUUUCUGGGCUGAGGCUGAAGUUGGUGGCAAAAUAGAACUGUAUUUUAGAGAGAUGCACCCAGUGACUUCUGCAACAUGAGAGGAAUAGGGAGUGAGUAGAAGUGGGAAAUUUUAGAUUGGAAGUCAUUGGAGUGUCAAUGAGGGCUGAUUACAAUGGAGAUAGGUCAGAAAGAGGAAUGGGUGUCAAGUCUCUGCAGAGGACAUGACUUUGGGAUGUGGCUUCUAGAAGGUUGAGGAAUGGAAGAAGGGAAGGCCAUUCCAAAGGUGAGGGCUUUGGCACUGGCGCUGGCAUCCAGGACACACACACAGAGCAGACAGAGGAAGUUAGGGGAAAGAAAAGAAACGUGGCUUUGGGCACGUUGUGGUUGCGAUACUGGCAGGUCCUCCAGUUGGGUCCCCUUAGCUGGUGAAUGAAACUAUGAGUCAGGUGCUCAGAGCCGUGACUGGGCCUGGGGACCACACUAACAUCUUUCUCCUAAGCCAGCAGAGAGGUCCAAAACUGGCAACCUGCAGGCCCCAUCUGCACUACAGAUGUGUUUUGUUUGGCCCGCAUCAUGUUUUAGAGUUCUUUAAAAUUUCUAACAACAUACACACUGAGAGACUGCAUAUAGAAACCCAUCUUUUUUAGCUUGUCUUGAAAUAUCAGAGCAUCUGGCAAUUCUGGGUUCUUGUUUUGGCAUGGCAGCAGCCUGAGCUGAGGCUCAGCUGCCCCCUGUAGAUGGGGCACGCUGUCUCUGGGUUGCCCCCAUCCGCCUUUCCCCAGUAAUUUCACCUGGCCCAUACCACCAGUGCUUUUACCACCUGCUUCAAAUAUAAGUUUGUAACUUCUCUCUUAGGUUAUGAUUGAAUUAUUUACAUCCCUGUGAAAGGAAACUUUUGGGAGAAUGGCUCCCUCAACCUCUGCCCAUUUGCACCUCCUCCCUCCACCUUAACUUUACUUCAGUUGUGCCUUAUUUCCCUAGCAUCUUCUGGUACUCUAGACUGACUUCCUUUUGCUUCAGAGUUGCACAGGUCUCCCCGACCAGCAGAAUCCUCAUUUGCUCUUACUGCCACUUCCCCACCCCUCAGGAUACUUGGCCCUGGAACUCAAUACUUUUGGUGAAUAAAUGAAUGAUUACAUGAGUGAAUGAACCUGCUGCUGUCUCUGUAUUCCUUUGGAACCCCCAUAUUCUAGUGAGCUUUCUGAACACAUCUGUCUCCAACUUUCUUUUCCAAGCCACUUUCUUCUGAUCACCCUCUGAACCAGUUAGUUCUUCAACACCUCCCCACCUCCGCCGCUGCCACUGGUUUCCUUGCUCUUCGAACUUGGAGCCCAUGUAUUCAGGGGCAGCAGCUGUGGAUGUCCUGGAGGUGAGCCCUUCCCAUAAUCCCCCGCGGCUCUUUCAUUCUCUAGGUGGGAUCUGGACGCGUCCUCUGAGUACACAGGUUCAAACAGGCUGCAGGCCGUAUUAUGCGAAAUCAGGGAUACGGGCAGAUAAUUAACAUAGCAACUCUGGCAAGUUUAAUAGGUUCUCACUCACAGUGACAGCUAGCAGCGUCCAAAGUGCUGACAUGAUGACUUAGAGAUGUGAUAAAGAGAAAUACGUUCGGCAUUUUCUGUAAGUAACUGUGGUUCCUGCAUGGAGGGAACACACAGACACAUGUAAGCAGAUACUUGAUCUCGAGUUUCUUAAUUUAAGCGUCGCGAUUCCUAAUAAGCAGGUAGAUUGCAUCCAUUGUUAUUUUGUCUUUGCUUAUCAAUGAUGAUCAACCUUUGCUAAACAAAGAUGUGUAAUCCAGCUGGGGAUACUCAGGAAUUUUUUUUUUUUAAGGUUUUAACAUUUGAUAAUAGGUUUUCCAAUAGUUUGAAGGGUAGCUUUUAACAUUUCUUUUCCAGCUGAAGUAUUUCCUGAGUUCUGUCCAAGCCCUCUGUAGUUAAAGAAAAGGCUUUUUGACACUUAAUAGACAAUGUUGUGGCUUUUUUCUCUUCUGAAGACAAAUGUAUAGGCAUUUAAACAACCACAUGGUACUAUGGUAAUUGAGACACCUUUCAGAAAUGGCAAUUAUAGGGUGACUUGUGUCAAAAAUAUUCAGAAUAAAUUUUAGUUUGCCUAAUUUUUAAAAACUUUCAAAGGUACUGCUCUCUUUAUUCUCUUUCUUUCUCUCUCUCUCCCCUCUUUCCCCUUUGGUUCUUUAAGUAUAAAGUAAAUGCAUUGCAUUUUCACAUUUUUUCCAAGUUUUCCCAGGUUUUCUUUGAGUUUAGAGAAAGUCCAAAGACCCAGAGCAAAACAAUCAGUGAGGACUAAGGUGUUCUUCUCUGUUCCUGACAUGAAAACAAAACAGAUGUUCAGGACAUUCUGUUUUGCUCAGGCUACCAGCUUGGCUGCUGGCUCGGAGAAUAUCCUUGCUCCCAAGUUAGUUCCAGUUCUGUUUAUUUCAUCCUGAGCUCCGCGAAGUUUCCAAAGCCAUCCUCUUCAAACAACACAUUUUUUUUUUUUUUUUCUGAGCUGGAGUUUAUUUUGUGCUCAGCCUUCAUUCCGUGGGUCCUGUGAAUAAUUCUAACACAAAGAAAAACUCUCCUUCUGACCCGUGAAAGGGGAGUCUGAGAAUAAAGAUAAAAAUUGCAGCUUUAAUCCAGAAAGCAAAGGG